UAAGGAAUAUUGGUCAAUGGACGAAAGUCUGAACCAGCCAUGCCGCGUGGAGGAUGAAGGUCCUCUGGAUUGUAAACUUCUUUUAUCUGGGACGAAAAAAGGUCUUUCUAGAUCGUCUGACGGUACCAGAUGAAUAAGCACCGGCUAACUCCGUGCCAGCAGCCGCGGUAAUACGGAGGGUGCAAGCGUUAUCCGGAUUCACUGGGUUUAAAGGGUGCGUAGGUGGGUUGGUAAGUCAGUGGUGAAAUCUUCGAGCUUAACUCGGAAACUGCCAUUGAUACUAUCAGUCUUGAAUAUUGUGGAGGUUAGCGGAAUAUGUCAUGUAGCGGUGAAAUGCUUAGAUAUGACAUAGAACACCAAUUGCGAAGGCAGCUGGCUACACAUAUAUUGACACUGAGGCACGAAAGCGUGGGGAUCAAACAGGAUUAGAUACCCUGGUAGUCCACGCCCUAAACUAUGGAUACUCGACAUACGCGAUACACUGUGUGUGUCUGAGCAAAGCAUUAAGUAUCCCCACCUGGGGAAGUACAUCGCAAGAUUGAAACUCAAAGGAA
rnacentral:rRNA from 1 species